rnacentral:rRNA from 1 species
AGUGAACGCUGGCGGUAGGCCUAACACAUGCAAGUCGAACGGCAGCACAGUAAGAGCUUGCUCUUACGGGUGGCGAGUGGCGGACGGGUGAGGAAUACAUCGGAAUCUACUUUUUCGUGGGGGAUAACGUAGGGAAACUUACGCUAAUACCGCAUACGACCUACGGGUGAAAGCAGGGGAUCUUCGGACCUUGCGCGAUUGAAUGAGCCGAUGUCGGAUUAGCUAGUUGGCGGGGUAAAGGCCCACCAAGGCGACGAUCCGUAGCUGGUCUGAGAGGAUGAUCAGCCACACUGGAGCUGAGGCACGGUCCAGACUCCUACGGGAGGCCGCAGUGGGGAAUAUUGGACGAUGGGCGCGAGCCUGAUCCAGCCCUACCGCGUGGGUGAAGAAGGCCUUCGGGUUGUAAAGCCCUUUUGUUGGGAAAGAAAAGCAGCAGGUUAAUCCCCCGCUGUUCUGACGGUACCCAAAGAAUAAGCACCGGCUAACUUCGUG